GACGAACGCUGGCGGCGUGCCUAAUACAUGCAAGUAGAACGCUGAAGAGAGGAGCUUACUCUUCUUGGAUGAGUUGCGAACGGGUGAGUAACGCGUAGGUAACCUGCCUUGUAGCGGGGGAUAACUAUUGGAAACGAUAGCUAAUACCGCAUAACAAUGGAUGACACAUGUCAUUUAUUUGAAAGGGGCAAUUGCUCCACUACAAGAUGGACCUGCGUUGUAUUAGCUAGUAGGUGAGGUAAUGGCUCACCUAGGCGACGAUACAUAGCCGACCUGAGAGGGUGAUCGGCCACACUGGGACUGAGACACGGCCCAGACUCCUACGGGAGGCAGCAGUAGGGAAUCUUCGGCAAUGGGGGCAACCCUGACCGAGCAACGCCGCGUGAGUGAAGAAGGUUUUCGGAUCGUAAAGCUCUGCUGUAAGUCAAGAACGGGUGUGAGAGUGGAAAGUUCACACUGUGACGGUAGCUUACCAGAAAGGGACGGCUAACUACGUG
rnacentral:rRNA from 1 species